rnacentral:rRNA from 1 species
CACUCCUGCGGGAGGCAGCAGUGGGGAAUAUUGGACAAUGGGCGCAAGCCUGAUCCAGCCAUGCCGCGUGAGUGAUGAAGGCCCUAGGGUUGUAAAGCUCUUUCACCGGUGAAGAUAAUGACGGUAACCGGAGAAGAAGCCCCGGCUAACUUCGUGCCAGCAGCCGCGGUAAUACGAAGGGGGCUAGCGUUGUUCGGAUUUACUGGGCGUAAAGCGCACGUAGGCGGACUAUUAAGUCAGGGGUGAAAUCCCGGGGCUCAACCCCGGAACUGCCUUUGAUACUGGUAGUCUUGAGUUCGAGAGAGGUGAGUGGAAUUCCGAGUGUAGAGGGGAAAUUCGUAGAUAUUCGGAGGAACACCAGUGGCGAAGGCGGCUCACUGGCUCGAUACUGACGCUGAGGUGCGAAAGCGUGGGGAGCAAACAGGAUUAGAUACCCUAGUAGUCCCAUGAU